rnacentral:tRNA from 1 species
UCCCUGGUAGCUCAGCUGGUAAAGAAUCUGCCUGCAGUGCAGGAGAUCUGGGUUCGAUCCCUGGGUUGGGAA